GGCCCAGCCAGUGUCGUGUGGCAGGUCGAUGAUGAGCCACGGACUGGAAGUGCCGAACUGCUGUCUGCUGUUUACACCGGGCGGUGCGGGGCCUCACGAUACAAAACGAGGGGCUCUGAUAUUUGGACUGUUCUUCCCUUUGGGACCUGAGUAAGAGAGCAAUCCUGAAAGAGCCUUCAGGAGCAACUUUUCCACCCCACCAACAUGGGGACAAAGCCUCUGCUCGGCCCCCAACUUCACAGAGAAGCUCAGCCCCUCCUGGCAUGGCACUGCAUGGGGGAAAGACACGAGGCACCGAGGUUUGGCUGCAGGGCUUUGGGCUGGCCCUGCUCAGCUCCCACCACCCCU